GCGCGGGUAGUGUAACGGAUAGCACAUGAGAUUUCGGUCCUCAUGAUGAGGGUUCGACUCCCCCCCUGCGCA
rfam:Pediococcus argentinicus strain DSM 23026 Scaffold9, whole genome shotgun sequence.